rnacentral:rRNA from 1 species
AUUGAACGCUGGCGGCAGGCUUAACACAUGCAAGUCGAACGGUAGCAGGAGAAAGCUUGCUUUCUUGCUGACGAGUGGCGGACGGGUGAGUAAUGCUUGGGAAUCUGGCUUAUGGAGGGGGAUAACGACGGGAAACUGUCGCUAAUACCGCGUAUUAUCGGAAGAUGAAAGUGCGGGACUGAGAGGCCGCAUGCCAUAGGAUGAGCCCAAGUGGGAUUAGGUAGUUGGUGGGGUAAAUGCCUACCAAGCCUGCGAUCUCUAGCUGGUCUGAGAGGAUGACCAGCCACACUGGAACUGAGACACGGUCCAGACUCCUACGGGAGGCAGCAGUGGGGAAUAUUGCGCAAUGGGGGGAACCCUGACGCAGCCAUGCCGCGUGAAUGAAGAAGGCCUUCGGGUUGUAAAGUUCUUUCGGUAUUGAGGAAGGUUGAUGUGUUAAUAGCACAUCAAAUUGACGUUAAAUACAGAAGAAGCACCGGCUAACUCCGUGCCAGCAGCCGCGGUAAUACGGAGGGUGCGAGCGUUAAU